rfam:Cyberlindnera jadinii NRRL Y-1542 unplaced genomic scaffold CYBJAscaffold_8, whole genome shotgun sequence.
GGGCGAGUGGCGUAGUUGGUAGCGCGCCUGCCUUGCAAGCAGGAGGUCAUCGGUUCGACUCCGGUCUCGUCCA